rnacentral:rRNA from 1 species
GAUGAACGCUGGCGGCGUGCCUAAUACAUGCAGUCGAGCGAAUGGAUUAAGAGCUUGCUCUUAUGAAGUUAGCGGCGGACGGGUGAGUAACACGUGGGUAACCUGCCCAUAAGACUGGGAUAACUCCGGGAAACCGGGGCGAAUACCGGAUAACAUUUUGAACCGCAUGGUUCGAAAUUGAAAGGCGGCUUCGGCUGUCACUUAUGGAUGGACCCGCGUGGCAUUAGCUAGUGGGUGAGGUAACGGCUCACCAAGGCAACGAUGCGUAGCCGACCUGAGAGGGUGAUCGGCCACACUGGGACUGAGACACGGCCCAGACUCCUACGGGAGGCAGCAGUAGGGAAUCUUCCGCAAUGGACGAAAGUCUGACGGAGCAACGCCGCGUGAGUGAUGAAGGCUUUCGGGUCGUAAAACUCUGUUGUUAGGGAAGAACAAGUGCUAGUUGAAUAAGCUGGCACCUUGACGGUACCUAACCAGAAAGCCACGGCUAACUACGUGCCAGCCGCCGCCGUAA